AUUGAACACUGGCGGCAUGCCUUACACAUGCAAGUCGAACGGUAACGCGGGGCAACCUGGCGACGAGUGGCGAACGGGUGAGUAAUGCAUCGGAACGUGCCCAGUAGUGGGGGAUAGCCCGGCGAAAGCCGGAUUAAUACCGCAUACGACCUACGGGUGAAAGCGGGGGACCGUAAGGCCUCGCGCUAUUGGAGCGGCCGAUGUCAGAUUGGGUUGUUGGUGGGGUAAAAGCCUACCAAGCCGACGAUCUGUAGCUGGUCUGAGAGGACGACCAGCCACACUGGGACUGAGACACGGCCCAGACUCCUACGGGAGGCAGCAGUGGGGAAUUUUGGACAAUGGGGGCAACCCUGAUCCAGCCAUGCCGCGUGCGGGAAGAAGGCCUUCGGGUUGUAAACCGCUUUUGUCAGGGAAGAAACGCUCUGGGCUAAUACCCCGGGGUAAUGACGGUACCUGAAGAAUAAGCACCGGCUAACUACGUGCCAGCCGCCGCCGUAAAAC
rnacentral:rRNA from 1 species